rnacentral:lncRNA from 1 species
UUUCAGAUGACUCAGUGUUUUCAAAUGUUGUUCCUUCUCAGAGAACACUGAAUUACGUCCUUUGAGCACCCGCGAUUGAAUUGGUGGCUUCAUUAAUGUACCUUCAGGAUGAAGCUAAUACUGGGAAGAUAAUGAAGGAAAUGGAAAGAAGCACUUUGGUGACACUAUUGGGGCCUCUGGAUCAACACUUGCUUGAUGUCUGAGCUUCAUUUUUAUGAGCCAAUGUAUUACUUUCAUUCUGUAAGACCAGUCAGGGUUUGGUCCCUUGUGGUAAAAAGUAACCAAAUGAAAACAUUUCCUAUUUGAGAUAAGUUGAACAUCUGACUUCAGUUUUAUCACCUCUAAUGAAAACCAAAGUUCUAUGCCACACUUUCUCUGUUGUAAGAAAACCAAGCCUAUAGAAGUCAAGAUUUACAAGAGUAAAUCUUGCAUGUAAAAAUUUCUUUGCAUUUUAAAAGGAGUUCAACAAUUAUAGGAGGUUCACUAUGAGCCAGUUUCACUAUUCAGUCAGUUUUGCAGUAAAUUAAAAUGUGAUUCACUUGAUAUAUUUUUAGGAACAUAUCAUUUGGGUUAAGUGGAAGCAUUACUGUUCUGGACAUCUGGGGUACUUAAUGUCAUCUCUGUAUGAAACAUCUGAGGAUCUAAUAGUAAGCAACCUUUUGUGCCAAAUAUUUAAAAUUCCUUCAGGAGUUAGUUUGAAGCUUGCAAAGACUCUGAGAUUGUAGUUAGAAAUACCUUGUCAAGCAAAUAAGAGAAAAUGAUCAGGCAGCACAUACCCUGUUUCUGAGGAACAUAGUCUGUGGUGACUUUAUGGGGAGCUGUAGCAGGUGCAUGAUAACCUUGUGGUUCAUCAUGUACUAUGAAGGAACAGUGACCUUCUCCCUCGAACUUUAGGAUUUCUAGGUAGGAUAGCCAUAUGUUCCUAUUUUCCCAGGAUAGUUCCAGUUUAUGUUGUUGUAAUAACACUCUCUGCCAGUUCCUGCUUAUAAGCUGCAUCAUUGUGGCACACAGCACAUAAUGGCACACAGAUCAAAUUAAAAUUGAGGAAUAAAAUAGUAGAGAAAGGAUGGAUUGGACUAACAUCUGGAAAACCAGGAGAGAGACUUUAGUGAUAAUUAUGGAGGGAGAACUUUUUG